AGCAAUGCAGACAAUUAAAUAUGUUGUGGGUGAUGGUGCUGUUGGCAAAACAUGUCUCCUGAUAUCCUACACGACAAACAAAUUUCCAUCGGAAUAACGUACUGUUUUUGACAACUAUGCAGUCACAGUUAUGAUUGGUAGAGAACCAUACACUCUUGGAUUUUUGAUACUGCAGGGCAAAGGAUUAUGACAGAUUAUGACCGCUGAGUUAUCCACAAACAGAUGUAUUUCUAGUCUGUUUUUCAGUGGUCUCUCCAUCUUCAUUUGAAAAUGUGAAAAAAAGUGGGUGCCUAACUGUCCCAAAGACUCCUUUCUUGCUUGUUGGGACCCAAACUGAUCUCAGAGAUGACCCCUCUACUAUUGAGAAACUUGCCAAGAACAAACAGAAGCCUAUCACUCCAGAGACUGCUAAAAAGCUGACCCAUGACCUGAAGGCCAUCAGGUAUGUGGAGUGUUCUACACUCACACAGAAAGGCCUAAAGAAUGUAUUUGACGAUACAAUAUUGGCUGCCCUGGAGCCUCCAGGAUCGAAGAAGAGCCGCAGGUGUGUGCU
rnacentral:lncRNA from 1 species